UACGGGGGGGAGCAAGCGUUGUUCGGAUUUACUGGGCGUAAAGGGCGCGUAGGCGGCCAUCGCAAGUCGACUGUGAAAUCUCCGGGCUUAACUCGGAAAGGUCAGCCGAUACUGCGGGGCUAGAGUGCAGAAGGGGCAACUGGAAUUCUCGGUGUAGCGGUGAAAUGCGUAGAUAUCGAGAGGAACACCUGCGGCGAAGGCGGGUUGCUGGGCUGACACUGACGCUGAGGCGCGAAAGCGUGGGGAGCGAACAGG
rnacentral:rRNA from 1 species